GGGGUGUUAGCUCAGCUGGUUCAGAGCGCUUGCUUGACAGGCAAGAGGUCACUGGUUCGAACCCGGUACAUCCCA
rnacentral:tRNA from 1 species